UCCUGAUCCAGGCAAGGGGAGAGACAAACACCUGGUAACUGGGAAAUGGUUUUCUCAGCUGUGCUUAAGGUUUACAGAAUGGGUGGAAUAUUUUGAUCCUGCUUUCUCUGUGAAUGCAGGGUGGUGGUGGACUCUUAGGACCAUGUGCACCACCAUCAUGUUUCUCUCUACUCUGGCUUUUGUACUGCGCCAGCAUUUCUUCAGCCGAAGUAAGACCUUUCCAAAAGGCUCGCGGGAGAAGGAGUCACCAUCGGUGGAGAGCAAAGACACUGACAAGUGACACUCACUUAAUGGACAUCCAACGCAGAGCUGGGUUUUAGAUGUGGAAGCCGUGCUCAGGUCCAUGGAAAGACAGCUGAAUUCUCUUCUGGAGAAAUGUCCUCAUUCGAAAUGUGGAAACAGCCCAGUGGGUCCUCCAUCUCCUUUAAGCCACAGCAGGUCUCGCUCCAGUCAACAAGCUGAUCCGUAAAGUCAACUUUAGAUGCUUUUCAACUUUCUGACAGCAAAACGAAUCCCAUAUUUUUGCCCCAAACAGUCACUUGGAGUAGACAGACUUUGAGCACCUCUUGUUGACGGUUUUCCUUUAUUCCAGCGACAAAGAGCCCACAGAAGUGUACGCUCUGUGCCACGAGCACCAAACCUGAUAUGAUUGGCAGCAUUGUUUGAGGUUUUUUUGGCUUGCUAAAAUCCCUUGUGCAAUAAUCUCUCCUUAAGUAGUUGUUUGACAUUACAGGGAGGAAAGCAAUUUCACACCCGGUUGUAUCAUUACUCAACUGUUCCAUAAGCGAUGAAAACCUGACGGUCUCUGGAAUGACUGAAAAACUUUCUGUCAUUACCGAGCUGCCAGACCAGAAAUAAACAAGUGUUUUCUGUGAUGUACAUGCACUGCCUGCUGCAUCUUUAUUUGAAGGGAAAUCCACACCCACACUCCCAGCAGCACAAAAAAUUAAAGCUCCCUGGCUUAUUCGUUUCUAUAAUUGAGCCUUUUGCUCUGCACGUGGAUUCACAAGCAUGUUGAAUUACGACUAAAUCAUAUAGCGUGACAAUGGGGCCCCUAUGCACAGGAUCUUAGCAAUUAAUACUGUUUUUCAUCUUUUUAUGGGCUGCAUCAUUUCCCUUGCCGACAAAUGAGAUCUUGUUAUUUCCUGCCUGAUUACAUAAGUGAUUGGAUCCUUAUUGAUAUUAAGGUUGUGCGCUGCCCCAGAGAUACCAGUGUGCAUUUAAUGAUACGUUCCAGUGGGAGCGACAGACCGCUAAGUUAUUUUCGAAAAGGGACCAAAACCGCCUCUGUGGCGGGAAUAUGGCCGACUGUUAUGCAUCUACUCUAUUAAGAACUCUAUUAUUGUGAAUAUCCCUGUUUGUCACUCUGACAACUGUGUACAACAAAUCCCUCCGGCUGAAGUACUCCACUGGCAGAAGCCCGGGGAACUAAUGAGCCUAAUAUGUCCCCAGGAACAUCGCCUCUGCCAAGUGUGCACUCUAAAUCCUCCUGUGUAAUCAAGGCGGUGCAGGACAUAGAUAUCUGCAGAUAGUGGCAGUAGUACUUCCAUAUCUCACUGUUGUCUCCUGCCCUGAUGAGUCUGUCUGACUCAAAUUACUAGGUGAAAGCGGGGCUUUUGUGCACCCGGUAACGUGGAGUAGCUUGGGUAAUGACUAUGGUCUUCCUGAACACUCUGGUAGACCAUGGGAGUUAAUCUAAUGAAGGGGAGAGAGCCAUGGUUCAUAAUUGCCUGAGAGAGAAGCUGGAAGAAAGGUACACAUGGAGACUCAAACCUGUUUUUCCUGCGCGCUCCAAACUCAGACACUGCUGCAAAAGCAGGAGAGGAAUCAAAGAAAAGAGAUGCUUAUGAUAGUCGUGCAUGUUAAGGACACAGAGCAUUUAAACAUCAGACCUGUUCAGAGUCUUUCUGCACUGAUAAUGUUUUAAGUGUUAAGAUUUUAGCUGAUUUUGAAACGGGAUGUUACAGCCUGCUGCUGCAGACUCUUGGAGUUUGAGGUGAGGACCCAAACGCAGACAAAACGAGGUGUGGAAACAAACUUAAAUUUGUAAGCCUUUUAUUUAGGUUUUACACAAAGACACAAAAUGUAACAUAAACUGGAGAAACAAGGAGAGGUGCGCAGACAACCUGAUGAUGAAGACAGGGAAACUCACACAAUAAAUGCACAUGAGGGUGACGAGGGAAGUGGAAACACACGAGGAACGCAGCUGGGAUGAAUAGGCCUAAUGACACAAGAGGAAGCAAAACUGAACACACUGAAGAUGAGAGACCGUCAAAAUAAAACAGGAAAUGGGCAGCGAAGACACACAGACUUGACACUGGGACCGGGAAAGAACAGGAGAACAUGGAAAGAGAAGGAGACGAAACACAAAGAUAUGACUGGAACUCGGGGAGCAAGGGACACGGAGGCGAGGAAGGGAGUGAGAGGGCGUGCAAGGGAUAAAGAAUGAGAGGGAGAUGAAGGGCUGGGGAGACAUGGCAUGAAACAUGGGAACAGAAAAGGGAGCGGAGACACGGAGGGAGACACAAACAUAACUUAACGAACAUAUACAUGAACAUCAACAAGAAAACAUGGAUCAUAAUUCUAACUAAACUUACAACCUAAUCAGGUCUAAACUCUAUACUAACUGUAAACAGUAAAACUUAAACAUUUCCCCCAAAUAGCAAAAAGGGAUCAAAAAUACAAAAGACACUCAAAAUGCUGAGCCAACGACCCAGCACGCUGACACCGGAGAGGUUAUAAAGACUGAUGGUUGUGUUUUGUAUUCACGUCAGUUGUCCUGUUUCACUAAUUUGUGCCUCCUCCUGUGUGUGACCUGGAAAUCAAUCUCAGUACACCAUGUUGUUAGACAUGUCUCAGCUCCUGAAAAUACAUCUGCAGGGCAGAGCGGAGCGGCGGCUUCGCUAGAAGAGCGAUAACGGAGGAUACACACAUAGGGUGUGGGGGGCC